AUAUGCAUAAAUACAAGUAGGUGGAGCUCGAGGUGGAGAUGUACAUCAAAUGGUAACACUGUAAUUUUAUUACACUGACAUUUAUUUCUAAAGCUAGAAGACACUCAGGAAAACAAUGUUGCUCCUCUUCAUGGUGUUUUUCACUCUUGCUGAUGUUGCAAAGGCUGCCGACAAUAUCAUUAAACCAGAACAAACCAAUGUAUUUUCAACGGAAGGCAGCAACAUCUCACUGUCCUGCACGUAUACUGGAUCAGUUUACAGUCUCCACUGGUAUCGACACAAACCUGGAUCAAGACCUGAGUUUCUGCUGCUCAUUGCUGAAAGCAGUAAACAUGUCACACCAGCUCAACCACCUCAUCCACGAUUGUCUAUAAAACUUAAUAAUGAUCGAGAUAAAACAAGUAAGAAAGUGGAUCUGGUCAUCUCCUCUGCUGCUGUGACAGACUCUGCUCUAUACUACUGUGCUCUGCAGCCCACAGUGACAGGAAAUCCAGCUGCACUGUACAAAAACUAACACAGUUUCGUUAUAUUGAAACAUAUAUUCUGACAUUUCUUUAGAGAAUUUCACUUGACCUUUUUAGAAAAGUCUCUUUCUCGUGAUUUUUAAAGAGUUUACACUUUACACUAUUGACACAUUUCUUUCUUUCGUUUAUUCAUUC